rnacentral:rRNA from 1 species
AGACGAACCGUGCGAACGUUAUUCGGAAUCACUGGGCUUGAAGCGUGCGUAGGCGGCUUGGCAAGUUGGGUGUGAAAGCCCUCGGCUCAACCGAGGAAUUGCGCCCAAAACUGCCAGGCUUGAGGGAGUUAGAGGUGAGCGGAACUGAUGGUGGAGCGGUGAAAUGCUUUGAUAUCAUCAGGAACACCGGAGGCGAAGGCGGCUCACUGGGGCUCUUCUGACGCUGAGGCACGAAAGCUAGGGGAGCGAACGGGAUUAGAUACCCUAGUAGUCC